rnacentral:rRNA from 1 species
UACGUAGGGUCCGAGCGUUGUCCGGAGUUACUGGGCGUAAAGCGCGCGCAGGCGGCGGUGCUGGCCCGGCGUGAAAGCCCCCGGCUCAACCGGGGAGGGUCGUCGGGGACCGCACCGCUUGAGGGCGGUAGGGGCUGGUGGAAUGCCUGGUGUAGUGGUGAAAUGCGUAGAUAUUGGGAGGAACACCAGUGGCGAAGGCGGCAUCCUGGACCGGCAUUGACGCUGAGGAGCGAAAGCCAGGGGAGCAAACGGG